rnacentral:miRNA from 1 species
GCUGUUAUUGCAAAAUGUUCUA